rnacentral:lncRNA from 1 species
UUGUUGUCACUUUUUUCACAUUUUGAAUGAAUUGUUUCUUUUAUUUUUAUGUAUGGUUAAUAACCGAAUAACCAAACCAAAACCGAAAACAACCAAACCGAUAAAUGUAUAUUAUAUUUGGUUUGGUUUGGUUUUGAUAAUUUUAAAACCGAUUAAGUUGGUUUGGUUUUGGUUUUGACCAAUAACUGACCCAAACCAACCCGUGAACACCCCUACUUCUUACCCUUGUGGUGUGGAGGAUAGAGGUUGUUUUUGACGAACCCUCGGCUCAAAAGAGAAGUUACUCAAAGCAUCAUUGCAAGAAAAUAAGACAACAAAAUAUCAGGAUACCAAGAAAAGGAAGCAACCGAGAGUAAAACACAUUGAAGAAUAAGAAACUACGUGAUUACAGAAUUCUACUACUAAUAAGCUGAGAAGAGAUGGAGCUAGCCCCUUUAUCUCCCAUGUAAAGUGGGACAAUGCUCGAUUACCUACUACACCUUCUUCCCUAAUCCCCACCCUUUUAUUAUAUCAUCUUUAAUUUGUUGAGAAAGAGAAAUGAAAUGAGGAUGACCCCCACCCCUAGGUGAGUUACCUAAUUCUCAAUAAGAAUCUUAAGUAUUUAGUAGACAGAAAAUAGAUACUCAGAAAGUCAGAUCCUAGACAAAACUAAUUUUAAUUCACACAAAGGAUGAUAAAACAUAGCACAAUGUGGAACAUACCUUGUUUAAAAAGUCAAAUCCUCAUUUCACUAUUAUUGUUAUUCAGCAAAGAAGGUUAAGAGUACACAAUUCCAUCGGGCAACAACAACCAUCACCUUACUCCUAUCUUUGUGAGGUAGAAGAGGUUGUUUCCGAUAGACCCUCGGUUCAAAAGGGAAGUAUCUGAAGCAGGAAAAUAUAUAUAAUUCAUUAACAUAAAAAAGAGUGAAAAUUUAAUGUGUCGAGCCAGGAUCAUUACGGUAGAAGGAAAUUUCUAUAUGGCUGUUCUUCGUUAGCUUGAGGCACCAGCAGUAUGUAAUACAGUAAAACAUAUAGUAAAGAAAUUGAAAUAACAGAUAUUUAGAACAAGUAAAUAAAUACAGAGAGCCUAUGAUUUUAUUUACUCAGCAUCCAUGAUCAUAUAAAACGCUUCCUUAAUACAGUGAUAUGUAUCAAGAAAGUUUUAAGUUAAGAGAUAUGGCAGAAUGUAUCUAAAGGAGAUGAAAUCUGUAUGUCUUGUGAUUUGUGACAGUAUGGAUCGUAUGAAGCAUGAGGAGUCUAAUGUUCGAUCAUGAGUUUUGUUUGUAUGGGCGAAUUUCCUAUUUGUGGAAUCCAAUCUUAGUGAGGUCUCUAUUGAGGAAUUGUGGGUGUUAUAUGACCGUUGUCAUGGCUGGUUAUGCAACCAAAAUACAACGGAGGUGGUUGAGGAGUCCGUGGGGAUUCUAUCCCCACAAUCCAGUCCUGGGGUUCAGUUGGAUGUUAUCAUGGGCUAGACACUUAGAAGAGGUGGCCCACGUGCUGUUUCGUAGGAAGCCCAGAAUGAUUGUGUGGAUCAUGGAGUUUGGUCAUUUGUUACGUACGUAAUGGAUUGUUCAUUUUGUGAGACGGUUGUCAGGGGAUAGACCAUAUGAGGAGUCAGAGACGGGCUCUUAACCUUGUAGCAGAAGGGUCUACAAGGGGCUUUUAGUAUGACACAUGUCA